CCUACGGGAGGCUGCAGUGGGGAAUAUUGGACAAUGGGGGGAACCCUGAUCCAGCCAUGCCGCGUGUGUGAAGAAGGCCCUCGGGUUGUAAAGCACUUUCAGUGAGGAAGAACGCCUGGUGGUUAAUACCCAUCAGGAAAGACAUCACUCACAGAAGAAGCACCGGCUAACUCCGGGCCAGCAGCCGCGGUAAUACGGAGGGGGCGAGCGUUAAUCGGAAUUACUGGGCGUAAAGCGCGCGUAGGUGGCUUGAUAAGCCGGUUGUGAAAGCCCCGGGCUCAACCUGGGAACGGCAUCCGGAACUGGCAAGCUAGAGUGCAGGAGAGGAAGGUAGAAUUCCCGGUGUAGCGGUGAAAUGCGUAGAGAUUGGGAGGAAUUCCAGUGGCGAAGGCGGCCUUCUGGACUGACACUGACACUGAGGUGCGAAAGCGUGGGUAGCAAACAGGAUUAGAUACCCCUGUAGUC
rnacentral:rRNA from 1 species